rnacentral:rRNA from 1 species
AUUGAACGCUGGCGGCAUGCUUAACACAUGCAGGUCGAACGGCAGCGGGUCCUUCGGGAUGCCGGCGAGUGGCGGACGGGUGAGUAAUGCAUCGGGACCUGCCCAGACGUGGGGGAUAACGUAGGGAAACUUACGCUAAUACCGCAUACGUCCUACGGGAGAAAGCAGGGGACCUUCGGGCCUUGCGCGGUUGGAUGGACCGAUGUGCGAUUAGCUAGUUGGUGAGGUAAUGGCUCACCAAGGCGACGAUCGCUAGCUGGUCUGAGAGGAUGAUCAGGCACACUGGGACUGAGACACGGCCCAGACUCCUACGGGAGGCAGCAGUGGGGAAUAUUGGACAAUGGGCGCAAGCCUGAUCCAGCAAUGCCGCGUGUGUGAAGAAGGCCUGCGGGUUGUAAAGCACUUUUAUCAGGAACGGAACACUGUCGGCUAAUACCCGGCGGGACUGACGGUACCUGAGGAAUAAGCACCGGCUAACUUCGUGCCAGCCGCCGCAGUAACAC